rnacentral:sRNA from 1 species
ACUGGGCGUGGUGGCACACACCUGUAAUCCCAGUGGCUCAGAGGCUGAGGCAGGAGGAUCCUGAGUUCAAAGCCAGCCUUAGCAAUGGUGAGGAGCUAAGUAACUCAAGGAGACCCUGUCUCUA